AUUGAACGCUGGCGGCAGGCCUAACACAUGCAAGUCGAACGAGUGGCGGACGGGUGAGUAAUGUCUGGGAAACUGCCUGAUGGCGGGGGAUAACUACUGGAAACGGUAGCUAAUACCGCAUACCAUCAGAUGUGCCCAGAUGGGAUUAGCUAGUUGGUGGGGUAACAGCGGACCAAGGCGAAGAUCCCUAGCUGGUCUGACAGGAUGACCGGCCACACUGGAACGGAGACACGGUCCAGACUCCUACGGGAGGCAGCAGUGGGGAAUAUUGCACAAUGGGCGCAAGCCUGAUGCAGCCAUGCCGCGUGUAUGAAGAAGGCCUUCGGGUUGUAAAGUACUUUCAGCGGGGAGGCGUUACCCGCAGAAGAAGCACCGGCUAACUCCGUGCCAGCAGCCGCGGUAAUAC
rnacentral:rRNA from 1 species